GGGGUGACUAGUGACAGAGUGAGGGAAGGGGUGACUUGUGGCAGAGUGAGGGAAGGAAGGCGUGACUAGUAACAGAGUGAGGGAGGUGGUGACUGUCACUAGUCACCAGCUCCCUCACUCUGUCACUAGUCACCACCUCCCUCUGUCACUACUCCCUCCCUCCUUCUGUCACUAGUUACCCCCUCCGUCCCUUACUCUGUCACUAGUCACCCCCUCCCUCACUCUGUCACCAGUCAUCCCC
rnacentral:sRNA from 1 species